rnacentral:rRNA from 1 species
UACGAAGGGGGCUAGCGUUGCUCGGAAUUACUGGGCGUAAAGGGAGCGUAGGCGGACAUUUUAAGUCAGGGGUGAAAUCCCAGAGCUCAACUCUGGAACUGCCUUUGAUACUGGGUGUCUUGAGUGUGAGAGAGGUAUGUGGAACUCCGAGUGUAGAGGUGAAAUUCGUAGAUAUUCGGAAGAACACCAGUGGCGAAGGCGACAUACUGGCUCAUUACUGACGCUGAGGCUCGAAAGCGUGGGGAGCAAACAGG